UACGUAGGGUGCGAGCGUUGUCCGGAAUUAUUGGGCGUAAAGCGUGCGCAGGCGGUUUGUUAAGUCUGUUGUGAAAUCCCCGAGCUCAACUUGGGAAUUGCAAUGGAUACUGGCAGGCUGGAGUAUGGUAGAGGAAGGUGGAAUUCCCGGUGUAGCAGUGAAAUGCGUAGGGAUCGGGAGGAACACCAGUGGCGAAGGCGGCCUUCUGGACCAAUACUGACGCUCAUGCACGAAAGCGUGGGGAGCAAACAGG
rnacentral:rRNA from 1 species